CCUGGGGUUUUUGGGGGAAAGCCGCCCCCGGACUCCAGAGGGGCCUUUCGGGUUCUUCAUUCCGCCCCUGCCCCCGGGUGGAGGAUCGCGGAGCGGGAGGAGGAGGAGGGAGUGCGUGGGCUCGCCUUCCCUGCAGUGAGAGCGGCUUCUUCGGUCACCCUCGGCUCGUUCUUCGAUCUUUACAUUUUUGGCCAGAAUCCUGCAGCCACUAUGCCCAGCUGGCUGCUGGUGGGGAUUUGGGGAGAGGUAGUCCGAAAAAUAAGGUUCCUAAGUGUCUUUUAAUCCCAGACUGCGGCCUCCACCCAAUACGUGUGGGUGCGGUGCAGAAGAUAAAGAAGGUUUGUUAUGUGUUGCUCCAGAAUGCAGGCAUGGAGGCUGGGAUUGGUCAUUUCUCAGCAAUGCUCUAACUGCUUCUGCACUGAGUCAAGGAUUGAGUUAGAUUUGGUUGGAGGACUGGAGACCACUUCCCAUUUGAGGGGCCCAAGCAGCUCAGAAGUGCCCCUAUGAGCUUAUAUCCCCAUUUUAGUUGAUGGCCAAGGUCCCUUCCAAAGCUUUGAUUUUCCAUUAAUUUGUGGGCUAACUUCUAUCCACUACUUGUUGAUGGUGUUCUGAUGCAAUUGGAAAGGAACAGUGUUCCUGUGUGGUGGCACUUGUUAUCAAGAGGAUUUCCCACAGAUGUACCUCUACUGCAGGUUCAGUGGACUUAUGUGUAGAUGAAGUGACCCUUUUCCCCUUAGGAACCAGUGAAAUGAAAGCACUGCUUUUUAAAUUACGAUUUGCAGAUUCUUGUUGUUUUUAUUCUAAAGGGUAAGUGCUUUUUUGGUGGUUUCAGGAGUCGUAGCUGUGUUUGUAAUGUAACUUUAUCUCCUCAGGGUAAUUGCCAGGUGAAGCCUGUCUGCCUGUGAACAAGUCAAUUCUGGGAACACUGAUGUGUUUUCCAUAAGGUUUGGAUGGAACAAAAAAGAACACAGCAGAAAAUUGUGAUUUUUCAUCCAGGUAGAUGCAGACGGCAGAGGAAUCCACAGGUACUACCUAGAGAAUAGUGUUAAAAUAUUUCAUCUGCCAUUUUUGUUCUGAUGUAAUUCUUGCUUAUUUAGAGUUAACUAAAUAAAAUCUGAUGUUUAAAC